UACGAAGGGGGCUAGCGUUGUUCGGAAUCACUGGGCGUAAAGGGCGCGUAGGCGGCUUUAUAAGUCGGGGGUGAAAGCCUGUGGCUCAACCACAGAAUUGCCUUCGAUACUGUAGAGCUUGAGACCGGAAGAGGUAAGUGGAACUGCGAGUGUAGAGGUGAAAUUCGUAGAUAUUCGCAAGAACACCAGUGGCGAAGGCGGCUUACUGGUCCGGUACUGACGCUGAGGCGCGAAAGCGUGGGGAGCAAACGGG
rnacentral:rRNA from 1 species